rnacentral:rRNA from 1 species
AUACGUAGGUGACAAGCGUUAUCCGGAUUUACUGGGCGUAAAGGGCGUGUAGGCGGUCUUGCAAGUCAGAAGUGAAAUUCCUGAGCUCAACUCGGGCGCUGCUUCUGAAACUGCAGGACUUGAGUGCUGGAGGGGAUAGCGGAAUUCCUAGUGGAGCGGUAAAAUGCGCAUAUAUUAGGAAGAACACCGGUGGCGAAGGCGGUUAUCUGAACAUGAACUGAGUCUGAGUCGCCAAAGCUUGGAGAGCUAACAGGAUUAGAUACCCGGGGAGCCCACGCCGUGAACGAUGAAUACUAGGUGUAGGGGGGAUCGACGCCCUCUGCGCGGCAGGUAACACAAUAAGGAGUCAGCCUGGGGAGUACGGCCGCAAGGUGGAAGCUCAAAUGAAUUGACGGGG